GACGAACGCUGGCGGCGUGCUUAACACAUGCAAGUCGAACGGAAAGGCCCUGCUUUUGUGGGGUGCUCGAGUGGCGAACGGGUGAGUAACACGUGAGUAACCUGCCUUUGACUUUGGGAUAACUUCAGGAAACUGGGGCUAAUACCGGAUAGGAGCUCCUGCUGCAUGGUGGGGGUUGGAAAGUUUCGGCGGUUGGGGAUGGACUCGCGGCUUAUCAGCUUGUUGGUGGGGUAGUGGCUUACCAAGGCUUUGACGGGUAGCCGGCCUGAGAGGGUGACCGGCCACAUUGGGACUGAGAUACGGCCCAGACUCCUACGGGAGGCAGCAGUGGGGGAUAUUGCACAAUGGGCGGAAGCCUGAUGCAGCAACGCCGCGUGCGGGAUGACGGCCUUCGGGUUGUAAACCGCUUUCGCCUGUGACGAAGCGUGAGUGACGGUAAUGGGUAAAGAAGCACCGGCUAACUACGUG
rnacentral:rRNA from 1 species